GUCCUGAAUAUGUUCAUUUUUUGUAUGUUUGAGAUGACCGAGUCGAUGAUGCUGUGCCACUGGGUACGAAGCAAGUUUAGGCCCUUUGGAAGUGAACGAUAAGUUACAAUCAUCAUAAACUGUGGAUUGCGAACCGCUUAUUAUGUUUGUGUACACAUUUUUUACAGACGAAUUUCUACCGAUGAGUUCUAGUGUGGAGAACAGUGCGUAGACCAAGAGCAGCGACGAAGAUGGUAAAUUGUAUUUAUACGAAGCAACAACACAGCUUAAACCGGAAUGCGUGAUCGUUCCUGUGCACGCCCAUUGCCAAUGUAAUGGACACCGAAUCGACGGCAAUCGUAGGGGUACAGCAGUUGUACCAUCCACAUUCGGCAAUUGAUAUUACCACACUAUAGGCAAGGAGAGAUUUAUACUGCAUGUCUUCAUGCGUGGUAAGCGCAUGGCAUGGGGAACCGCUUUUGCUGCGUGUGUUUGCAAGCGGUAUCACAUUCUUUGGCAAGUGACGAAGUCAUAAAAAGUAUCUGAUAGCGCGUUUGGAAUCAGCUUAAGGUGCGCAAUCUCAAGGGAUAGUAAUGAACAAUUCAUGUCUGUUAGGAUGGUGCAUAUUGCGAGCCAUAGACGAAUGCACUGUUUCCGCUCCAUAUUCUACACCUUAUAUGCCCUAUGAUGCAUAUGUUGCUGCGUUAUGGAUCAUGUAGCGAACCUCAUGGCUGUACAAAUAGUGAUCUUGAGCGAAACGGUCUUAACAACCAGUGCAUGCAUAUACAUGCCUCACGGUGUAUGCAAUCUUUGCAAACAAGACUACUAACUCCAAAAAAAAAAAGUUUUUCUGUCUCAUACUUACUCCUCUUAAAAUAAUGUUUUUUUUUUAAAUAUGAGCCCCACAUAAUACCAAGACAAUUGCUACUUAAUAUGUU